rnacentral:tRNA from 1 species
GUCGGGAUAGCUCAGUUGGUAAAGCAAAGGACU